rnacentral:rRNA from 1 species
UACAGAGGGGCAAGCGUUAUUCGGAAUUAUUGGGCGUAAAGGGCGCGUAGGCGGCUUUGCAAGUGGCGGGUGAAAUCCCUCGGCUUAACCGAGGAACUGCCUGCCAGACUGUGAGGCUUGAGACCGGGAGAGGUGAGUGGAAUUCCCAGUGUAGCGGUGAAAUGCGUAGAUAUCAGGAGGAACACCGGUGGCGAAGGCGGGUCUCUGGGCCGAUACUGACGCUGAGGAGCGAAAGCGUGGGGAGCGAACAGG